GGAGACGUGUCCGAGUGGUUGAAGGAGCACGCCUGGAAAGUGUGUAUACGGGUAACCGUAUCGCGAGUUCGAAUCUCGCCGUCUCCG
rnacentral:tRNA from 1 species